rnacentral:ncRNA from 1 species
UAUCUGGUUGAUUCUGCCAGUAGUCAUAUGCUUGUCUCAAAGAUUAAGCCAUGCAUGUCUAAGUAUAAGCAAUCUAUACGGUGAAACUGCGAAUGGCUCAUUAAAUCAGUUAUCGUUUAUUUGAUAGUACCUUACUACAUGGAUACCUGUGGUAAUUCUAGAGCUAAUACAUGCUAAAAACCUCGACUUCAGAAGGGGUGUAUUUAUUAGAUAAAAAACCAAUGCCCUUCGGGGCUCCUUGGUGAAUCAUAAUAACUUAACGAAUCGCAUGGCCUUGCGCCGGCGAUGGUUCAUUCAAAUUUCUGCCCUAUCAACUUUCGAUGGUAGGAUAGUGGCCUACCAUGGUGGCAACGGGUAACGGGGAAUUAGGGUUCGAUUCCGGAGAGGGAGCCUGAAAAACGGCUACCACAUCCAAGGAAGGCAGCAGGCGCGCAAAUUACCCAAUCCCGAUACGGGGAGGUAGUGACAAUAAAUACUGAUACGGGGCUCUUUUGGGUCUCGUAAUUGGAAUGAGAACAAUUUAAAUACCUUAACGAGGAACAAUUGGAGGGCAAGUCUGGAGCCAGCAGCCGCGGUAAUUCCAGCUCCAAUAGCGUAUAUUAAAGUUG